UAGUCUUGCUUAGAUUUCACUUUUUGCAAUGUAUCCCUUGUUAGAUUAUGGUUAUAUGGUUAUACUCUGUUUUAGGAACAUCUACCCAAAAUAUUUCAAUUUUUUUAUUACUUUGCCAAACAUAUCAUGGCAUUGGUGAAAGUCAAAAUCUGUAAAAUUUGUGAACGUCUAAAUCAAUAUUCGGGCCAUUUAAACAGGGUGCGUCCCUCCUAUAGACCAGGGGAGAAGGGCUCGAUUUUGUCGUUCUGAGCAUUUGCAAUGCGUCUGCCUCCGAAGUAUAACAAAUGUUUUACUUCCACACAAAUGCACUUCUUUACUUAUUUUAGGUUUCAUGAAGUGUGUAGGUUGCAUUCUUAAUCGUACAGCUAUGAAAGUUAUGUAUUUAAACCUGCCUGCUCGAGACACAUUCAGCGAUUACUUUGCGUUGUCUGUGCAGUGAAGCAGUCGAGCUGGAUAAAUGUUUUUCUAAGGGCCGCUCCUUAAAUGGAUGUAAUGAUGCAGCCGACCACCACAGGAUGGCAAAUAUACGUUUAUUCGACAGAGGAUGUGUACAUGGUUGUAGGAAGGUCUGGAUGGCUGUCUUCUGACUUAUACAACGGUGGGAAAUCAAUAAAAUAAGUUAUGCAAACGUACAUAUUUUUUUUAAGUAAUUCGAGAAACUAGUGGGCCUGCUAGUGAUAGUGGUGGAGCCAGCACCUUCACACGUGGAGAUUUAUCCACCCAGUCAAGUAGGCCUACUCUGCGUCCAACAGCAGCGCAGUCUUCUAUGGACCAGUUUAUGCCAAAGUCAAUGUCUGUAGCAAAACAAGGCCAAAUUGAUAUUGCAUUGGCUAAAAUGAUUGCCACCGAUUUCCAGCCAUUUUUGAUCAUGGAGGACAGAGGUUUUAGAAAUGAUAGCAAUAGUCUAAAUCCAAUGUACACAAUUCCAAGCAGGAAACCCCUUUCAAAAUCACUUAUUCUACAACUGUAUAAGAGCACACAGGCUUCAGUUCGGGAAAGAGAACAAAAAGCUACUCCAGUUUGCCUUUCCACUCACUGCUGGACAUCAAGGGUAACCACUUCUUACAUGUCAGUUACAUGUCACUUUAUUUCAAGAUUUUUUCGAUGUCUAGCGGCCUUCUGGACGGACUGCUUUGAGUUCAGCGACAGACACACCUCACAGAACUUGGCAGAGGAACUGUUGAGAGUGGCCAGAGAAUGGUCUUGCCCACACAAUCAACCUGAUUGUAAGAGAUGAUCUGAAGCUGAUGAAGCCCACUGUGGACAAAGUGAAAGCAGCUGUGGAAUACUUCCACAGGAGCACAUUAGGUGCUGAAAACUAAAGUAUACACAACGCCAGAUGGGGAUGCCUGAUGCCAUCAUCUCUAGCCUGGUCAUUGUCAAUGCACCUGUUGAUGCUCUGACCCAAGAGGAAUGGGAGGUGGUGGAGGAGGUGUGCAGAGUCCUGGAACCCUUUGAGCAAGUCACUGUGGAGAUCAGUGGAGAGAGCCUCAGAAAUGAUGCUCCUGUGUAAGGGUCUGCAGCGAAUCACAGCCAGCCGCCAGAGAGAAGCAAAUGUAACCACAGGACAUGUGACAGACUUGAUGGACAUCCUGUGUUCAUCAAUGGACAGAAUGGAAUAUAAUCACGUGCUAUCAGAAACCGCUGCACUUCACCACAGGUUUAAGAAGUUAGCCUUCAGUGAUGCCAGAGUGAGUGAUAAGGCUCUUCAAAGAAUAACCUCAGCAGCAGGGAGGGACAGCCCCGGCAGUCAGCUGGCUCAGGCACCAGGGCAACAGGAAGAAGAGGGAGCAGAUUGAGCAGAAGCACGAGCAGUAGUGCCACAAACGUCUGAUAAGAGAGCAACUGGGGAUGCAGCACAAAGGAAUUCCUCAGCAGAUGCCAUAAUGGAGGUCCGAUCCUAUUUGGAGGAGCCCCUCCUCCUCUGAGCUGGUGGAAGAACAAGGCCUAUUUCUACCCACGGCUUACUACAGUCAUGACAGGGAGACUCUGCAUAGUGGCCACAUCCGUUCCCUCUGAGAGGGUCUUCUCAAAAAUGGGAAAAAUAAUUACUGAGAGAAGAAACCGCAUCAGCCCCUCGAAAGUGAGGCAGCUUGCAUUUCUGAAUGCAAAUCUCUCAUAAAAGCAAAAUAUGGUCAGCAUUGCUGCGUGCUGCUGGUUAUAACAUGGCAAUAAAGAGAGAGAGAGAGAAAAGAGGGACCAGUUUAAUGUUUUAAGUGGGAUGCUGCAGUUUUGCACAUUGUUAUUUAUUUUUCUUUGAUAUGGUGCAAUAUUCCAUUAUUAUGUUGUUCAGAUUGUAUUAGUUUGGAAUUGUUACAUUUAUAUGCAUUUUGUUUAUAUACAUAAAAAAGUUAUACUUUAAAUGCACUGUAAUAGCAUCCUUAUUUUUUACAUUUAUUUAAAUUUGUGGGAUGCUGCAGUUUUGCAAAUUGUCAUUUAUUUUUCUUUGAUA